CGUACACUCCUACGGGAGGCAGCAGUGGGGAAUAUUGCACAAUGGGCGCAAGCCUGAUGCAGCCAUGCCGCGUGUAUGAAGAAGGCCUUCGGGUUGUAAAGUACUUUCAGCGGGGAGGAAGGCGAUAAGGUUAAUAACCUUGUUGAUUGACGUUACCCGCAGAAGAAGCACCGGCUAACUCCGUGCCAGCAGCCGCGGUAAUACGGAGGGUGCAAGCGUUAAUCGGAAUUACUGGGCGUAAAGCGCACGCAGGCGGUCUGUCAAGUCGGAUGUGAAAUCCCCGGGCUCAACCUGGGAACUGCAUUCGAAACUGGCAGGCUAGAGUCUUGUAGAGGGGGGUAGAAUUCCAGGUGUAGCGGUGAAAUGCGUAGAGAUCUGGAGGAAUACCGGUGGCGAAGGCGGCCCCCUGGACAAAGACUGACGCUCAGGUGCGAAAGCGUGGGGAGCAAACAGGAUUAGAUACCCUUGUAGUCCCAUG
rnacentral:rRNA from 1 species